rnacentral:rRNA from 1 species
UGGGGAAUAUUGGACAAUGGGGGCAACCCUGAUCCAGCCAUGCCGCGUGAAUGAUGAAGGCCUUCGGGUUGUAAAGUUCUUUUGGUGGGGACGAUGAUGACGGUACCCACAGAAUAAGCUCCGGCUAACUUCGUGCCAGCAGCCGCGGUAAUACGAAGGGAGCUAGCGUUGUUCGGAAUUACUGGGCGUAAAGGGCGCGUAGGCGGUCCGACAAGUCAGAUGUGAAAGCCCCGGGCUUAACCUGGGAACUGCGUUUGAUACUGUCGGGCUUUGAAUUCGGUAGAGGUGAGUGGAAUUCCCAGUGUAGAGGUGAAAUUCGUAGAGAUUGGGAAGAACACCCGUGGCGAAGGCGGCUCACUGGACCGAUAUUGACGCUGAGGCGCGAAAGCGUGGGGAGCAAACA